rnacentral:rRNA from 1 species
AACGAACGCUGGCGGCAUGCCUAACACAUGCAAGUCGAACGAGACCUUCGGGUCUAGUGGCGCACGGGUGCGUAACGCGUGGGAAUCUGCCCUCUGGUUCGGAAUAACUCAGGGAAACUUGAGCUAAUACCGGAUAAUGAAUUCGGUCCAAAGAUUUAUCGCCUGAGGAUGAGCCCGAGUCGGAUUAGCUUGUUGGUGAGGUAAAAGCUCACCAAGGCGACGAUCCGUAGCUGGUCUGAGAGGCUGAUCAGCCACACUGGGACUGAGACACGGCCCAGACUCCUACGGGAGGCAGCAGUGGGGAAUAUUGGACAAUGGGCGAAAGCCUGAUCCAGCAAUGCCGCGUGUGUGAUGAAGGCCUUAGGGUUGUAAAGCUCUUUUACCCGGGAUGAUAAUGACAGUACCGGGAGAAUAAGCCCCGGCUAACUCCGUGCCAGCCGCCGCAGUAACAC